UCUAGGGAGAUAAUCGGACGUAGAGCCGAUCAUCCCAAGGUCGUUAAUCUAUGAAUAUAAUAAUUUCGAAUCAGGUUAUUAUAGGAGAUUAAAUUAAUUAACAAGAAGUUUCAGACUAUUUUGUUUUCAGUGUUUAGACUGAACAGUACAUUGAAAAUUGCAUAAGAUUAUAAGCGUAUACAAAGCGUUAGCCGAUGUGAGCCGGUGUUGACUUGCGAUAAGCAAGGCAAGCAGGGCGAACGUAAUAUAGCGACGUAAGAGUUUACUUUGUAAACUCCACAGGAGCUGUAAGGUUAACGUAAUAGAUAGAAGUAUAUGAUAAAACUGUUAUCAAAUAUAAUAUCUAAAGUAAACGUAAUCAUCAAUGAAUAACUAAAAAUAUGUUGGAAUCAGCGUUUGCGAGCUGAGAGUGAAAACUCGUUAAAGGCGAGCAAACAAGAACUAGAGAACAAUAUAUAAUAGGUAAAGCUACAAAGAGCUAAUGGGGGAUGCCUUGGUACUGACAGCCGACGAAGGACGUGUAAAGCUGCGAUAAGCCGCGGGGAACUGCUAAAAAGUCUUGAUCCGCGGGAAUC
rnacentral:misc_RNA from 1 species